rfam:Punica granatum cultivar Dabenzi scaffold525, whole genome shotgun sequence.
ACGACCUUACUUGAACAGGAUCUGUUCUAUAGGCUCGUACCUCUGUGUCCUUGAGUUCUAAGGAGACAGGAAUCAAAGUCUGGUGGAUGAACCACGGCUGUGCUGCCAGAGCGUGAUUAGCAGCUCCGUUGGCCUCCUGGGGCCGCCGGUUGCGGCGGAGGAUCGUUCUCAGGCCCCGGAAGCGGGGUCCUGGGGUGGUUGCACGGCGUUCUGACAGACU